rnacentral:rRNA from 2 species
CGAAGUCUGAUGGAGCACGCCGCGUGAGUGAAGAAGGGUUUCGGCUCGUAAAACUCUGUUGUUAGAGAAGAACAGCCGUGAGAGCAACUGCUCACGGUAUGACGGUAUCUAACCAGAAAGUCACGGCUAACUACGUGCCAGCAGCCGCGGUAAUACGUAGGUGGCAAACGUUGUCCGGAUUUAUUGGGCGUAAAGGGAGCGCAGGCGGUUUAUUAAGUCUGAUGUGAAAGCCUUCGGCUUAACCGGAGAAGUGCAUCGGAAACUGAUAAACUUGAGUGCAGAAAAGGAUAGUGGAACUUCAUGUGUAGCGGUGAAAUGCGUAGAUAUAUGAAGGAACACCAGUGGCGAAGGCGGCUAUCUGGUCUGUAACUGACGCUGAGGCUCGAAAGCAUGGGUAGCAAACAGGAUUAGAUACCCUGGUAGUCCAUGCCGUAAACGAUGAAUGCUAGGUGUUGGAAGGUUUCCGCCUUUCAGUGCCGCAGCUAACGCAUUAAGCAUUCCGCCUGGGGAGUACGACCGCAAGGUUGAAACUCAAAGGAAUUGACGGGGACCCGCACAAGCGGUGGAGCAUGUGGUUUAAUUCGAUGCUACGCGAAGAACCUUACCAGGACUUGACAUCUUCUGCCAAUCUAAGAGAUUAGACGUUCCCUUCGGGGACAGAAUGACAGGUGGUGCAUGGUUGUCGUCAGCUCGUGUCGUGAGAUGUUGGGUUAAGUCCCGCAACGAGCGCAACCCUUGUCUUUAGUUGCCAGCAUUAAGUUGGGCACUCUAGAGAGACUGCCGGUGAUAAACCGGAGGAAGGUGGGGAUGACGUCAAAUCAUCAUGCCCCUUAUGUCCUGGGCUACACACGUGCUACAAUGGGCGAUACAACGAGUUGCGAAACCGCGAGGUCAAGCUAAUCUCUUAAAGUCGUUCUCAGUUCGGAUUGCAGUCUGCAACUCGACUGCAUGAAGUUGGAA